AUGUGGCGGGCUAUCAUUGUGGGGAGGGAUUCUUUGCAAGUCGGUCUGAUCAAACACAUAGGAGAUGGCAGAUCGGUCUCUAUAUUGGAUGAUAAGUGGAUCCCCGGUACUCUUUCUAUGACUCCGACGGUCAGAAGUAAUAAUACACAAUUGCAAACAGUCUCCGACCUUAUUGAUACGGUUAAUUGGUCGUGGAAAGCGGAUGUGGCCCGUCAAAACUUCAUUACCCCCGAUGCGGAUGCAAUUCUUAACAUCCCCCUGAGGCGGGUGGGGGCGAUGAUGUAUUUGCAUGGGCUCACGAACGGUCGGGAUGCUAUACUAGGAAGGGACGAUCACCGAGACUUCAUCGACAGACAAACAGUUAUGGUCCCGGUUAUGGAAGCUCAAGGUUUUGCCAAGGAGGGAGACAUGAAGCAUGCAUUGCUGGAUUGCACCCACGCGAGACGUUUUUGGAACGCGGCUCCAGACUGGCUUGACAUCAAACGACCAGAGUUGCACCCACUUACAUGGUUUUGGGAUGUUAUAUGCGAUCCUAUGUUCUCUGAGUCUGAGAGAGCAAAAAUGGUUACUGUCAUGUGGGCGAUCUGGACCUCAAGAAACAAUGCCAUGCAUGACAAGAAGGAACUUGAUCCUAUUCAGUCCAUGAAGAAAACCCUAGAAUCUCUAACUGUGCUUGAGCUACCUCGCGACUACGCGCGAAUUUUGUCGGGGCACGGUUGGAGACCGCCAGAGUUGGGCUGGAUCAAGAUCAACACUGAUGGUAGUGUCGCAAUGGAAGCUAGAAGGCGAGGGGCAGGUGGAGUCGCAAGAUCACACUCAUCCUUCCUAGCUGCAUGGUGCAAACCUUACCCAGGAAUCAUAGAUCCUCUUAUAGCCGAAGCACUCGCUCUGCGCGAUGGUGUUCUCUUUGCUCAUCUUCGAGGCUAUUCUGAGGUGGUUUUUGAGUCUGAUAAUUUGGAGAUUGUGAAUCUCUGA
rnacentral:rRNA from 1 species